UACGAAGGGGGCUAGCGUUGCUCGGAAUCACUGGGCGUAAAGCGCACGUAGGCGGCUUUUUAAGUCAGAGGUGAAAUCCUGGAGCUCAACUCCAGAACUGCCUUUGAUACUGGAGAGCUUGAGUCCGGGAGAGGUGAGUGGAACUGCGGGUGUAGAGGUGAAAUUCGUAGAUAUUCGCAAGAACACCAGUGGCGAAGGCGGCUCACUGGCCCGGUACUGACGCUGAGGUGCGAAAGCGUGGGGAGCAAACAGG
rnacentral:rRNA from 1 species